rnacentral:rRNA from 1 species
UGGCGGCGUGCUUAACACAUGCAAGUCGAACGGUGAAAGAGAGCUUGCUCUCUGGAUCAGUGGCGAACGGGUGAGUAACACGUGAGCAAUCUGCCCCUGACUCUGGGAUAACAGCUGGAAACAGCUGCUAAUACCGGAUACGAGCUGCGAAGGCAUCUUCAGCAGCUGGAAAGAAUUUCGGUCAGGGAUGAGCUCGCGGCCUAUCAGCUUGUUGGUGAGGUAAUGGCUCACCAAGGCGUCGACGGGUAGCCGGCCUGAGAGGGUGACCGGCCACACUGGGACUGAGACACGGCCCAGACUCCUACGGGAGGCAGCAGUGGGGAAUAUUGCACAAUGGGCGAAAGCCUGAUGCAGCAACGCCGCGUGAGGGACGACGGCCUUCGGGUUGUAAACCUCUUUUAGCAAGGAAGAAGCGAAAGUGACGGUACUUGCAGAAAAAGCGCCGGCUAACUACGUGCCAGCAGCCGCGG